UGGGGAAUCUUGGACAAUGGGGGCAACCCUGAUCCAGCCAUGCCGCGUGAGUGAUGAAGGCCUUAGGGUCGUAAAGCUCUUUCGCCUGUGAAGAUAAUGACGGUAGCAGGUAAAGAAACCCCGGCUAACUCCGUGCCAGCAGCCGCGGUAAUACGGAGGGUGCAAGCGUUAAUCGGAAUCACUGGGCGUAAAGCGCACGCAGGCGGUUUGUUAAGUCAGAUGUGAAAGCCCCGGGCUCAACCCCGGAACUGCCUCCAAAACUAUUGGUCUAGAGUUCGAGAGAGGUGAGUGGAAUUCCAAGUGUAGAGGUGAAAUUCGUAGAUAUUUGGAGGAACACCAGUGGCGAAGGCGGCUCACUGGCUCGAUACUGACGCUGAGGUGCGAAAGUGUGGGG
rnacentral:rRNA from 1 species